ACGGGAGGCAGCAGUGGGGAAUAUUGCACAAUGGGCGAAAGCCUGAUGUAGCGACGCCGCGUGAGUGAUGAAGUAUUUCGGUAUGUAAAGCUCUAUCAGCAGGGAAGAUAAUGACGGUACCUGACUAAGAAGCACCGGCUAAAUACGUGCCAGCAGCCGCGGUAAUACGUAUGGUGCAAGCGUUAUCCGGAUUUACUGGGUGUAAAGGGAGCGUAGACGGUUUGGCAAGUCUGAAGUGAAAUGCGGGGGCUCAACUCCUGAACUGCUUUGGAAACUGUCGAACUAGAGUGCAGGAGAGGUAAGUGGAAUUCCUAGUGUAGCGGUGAAAUGCGUAGAUAUUAGGAGGAACACCAGUGGCGAAGGCGGCUUACUGGACUGUAACUGACGUUGAGGCUCGAAAGUGUGGGGAGCAAACAGGAUUAGAUACCCUGGUA
rnacentral:rRNA from 1 species